rnacentral:rRNA from 1 species
CCUACGGGAGGCAGCAGUGAGGAAUAUUGGUCAAUGGACGAACGUCUGAACCAGCCAAGUAGCGUGAGGGAUGACUGCCCUAUGGGUUGUAAACUUCUUUUGUCUGGGAGUAAAGCUUUCCACGUGUGGGAUUUUGUAUGUACCAUAUGAAUAAGGAUCGGCUAACUCCGGGCCAGCAGCCGCGGUAAUAAGGAGGAUUCGAGCGUUAACCGGAUUUAUUUGGGUUAAAGGGAUAGUAGGUGGAUAGUUCAGUUAGUCGUGAAAGUUUGGGGGUGAAACGUAACAUUGCAGUUGAAACUGGCAGUCUUGAGUACAGUAGAGGUGGGCGGAAUGCGUGGUGUAGCGGUGAAAUGCAUAGAUAUCACGAAGAACUCCGAUUGCGAAGGCAGCUUACUGGAGUGCAACUGACACUGAGGCUCGAAAGUGUGGGUAUCAAACAGGAUUAGAUACCCCUGUAGUC